UUACAAAUACAUGAAGAAAGAAAAUAGAGCUGAGUAUGUGUCAUUUGUGGAUCCCGAUCACAUACCUACAUGCGGUGUGGGUGAAGAAGGUAGUAAAUUAUCACAACAUAUUACUGCUUAGUUGGGAGCAUCGAACAGAGAUAGCAUAUGCUUCAUCCCAUAUAACACUGGGUACCAUUGGAUCUUAACUAUAAUUAAUGAAGAUAAAAAUAUAAUAUAUUUAUUGGACUCUUUGAGUAACAGAAACCGAGAUCAUGCUUGGCAAACUAUUGUAACCAAUGGGGUCAAGAUAUACAAUGCAUCAAGGGAUAUUUCAAAAGGACCAG